rfam:Pseudopelagicola gijangensis strain DSM 100564 genome assembly, contig: Ga0131178_115
GCGGUUGUAGCUCAGCUGGUUAGAGUGCCGGCCUGUCACGCCGGAGGUCGCGGGUUCGAGCCCCGUCAACCGCG